rnacentral:tRNA from 1 species
GGUGUAGCUCAGGGGUAGAGCACAACCUUGCCAAGGUUGGGGUCGAGGGUUCGAAUCCCUUCGCCCGCUCCA